GGCCUGCUGGCGAAAUCGGUAGACGCACGCGACUCAAAAUCGCGCGGGGCGACCCCCCAUCCCGGUUCGACUCCGGGGCGGGCCA
rnacentral:tRNA from 1 species